rnacentral:rRNA from 1 species
CUCGGCCUGGUCGCGGCCUCUCUGUCCGUCGCAGGUGGCCUUGGGAGGCCGCUCGGCCUCGGCCUCGGCGCUUCGCUGCGACCCUGCUCGCCGCGGGCGAGGACGUGCGUCGUCCAUCCGUCGGGGCAGCAGUCGGUGAAAGAGAAGGCCGCGGCCGGGCUGACCGCCGCGGCCAUGGCGGCCGCUCUUGUGCUGCCGGAGGUCGCGGAGGCCGCUGGCCCCGGGCUUUCGCCGUCGCUCAAGAACUUCCAGCUCAGUAUCGGCUCCGGCGGGGUCGUGCUCCUCGGCAUCAUCGGCGCCGUCGUCGCCGUCUCCAACUUCGACCCCGUCAAGCGAGGCUGA